rnacentral:rRNA from 1 species
GACGAACGCUGGCGGCGUGCCUAAUACAUGCAAGUCGAGCGGACUUUCCAGAAGCUUGCUUUUUGAAAGUUAGCGGCGGACGGGUGAGUAACACGUGGGCAACCUGCCUGCAAGACGGGGAUAACUCCGGGAAACCAGGGCUAAUACCGGAUAAUAUCUUCCUUCGCAUGAAGGAAGGUUGAAAGGCGGCGCAAGCUGCCGCUUGCAGAUGGGCCCGCGGCGCAUUAGCUCGUUGGUGAGGUAACGGCGCACCAAGGCGACGAUGCGUAGCCGACCAGAGAGGGGGAUCGGCCACACUGGGACUGAGACACGGCCCAGACUCCUACGGGAGGCAGCAGUAGGGAAUCUUCCGCAAUGGACGAAAGUCUGACGGAGCAACGCCGCGUGAGCGAAGAAGGUCUUCGGACCGUAAAGCUCUGUUGUCAGGGAAGAACAAGUACCGUUCGAACAGGGCGGUACCUUGACGGUACCUGACCAGAAAGCCACGGCUAACUACGUG